AGAGCGAACGCUGGCGGCAGGCCUAACACAUGCAAGUCGAGCGCCCGUAGCAAUACGGGAGCGGCAGACGGGAUAGUAACACGUGGGAACGCGCCCUUCGGUUCGGAAUAACUCAGGGAAACUUGAGCUAAUACCGGAUACGCCCUUACGGGGAAGAUUAUUGCCGAAGGAACGGCCCGCGUCCGAUUAGCUAGUUGGUGAGGUAAUGGCUCACCAAGGCGACGAUCGGUAGCUGGUCUGAGAGGAUGACCAGCAUCACUGGGACUGAGACACGGCCCAGACUCCUACGGGAGGCAGCAGUGGGGAAUAUUGGACAAUGGGCGCAAGCCUGAUCCAGCCAUGCCGCGUGGAUGAUGAAGGCCUUAGGGUUGUAAAGUCCUUUUAACGGGGAAGAUAAUGACGGUACCCGUAGAAUAAGCCCCGGCUAACUUCGUGCCAGCAGCCGC
rnacentral:rRNA from 1 species